UACGGAGGGGCUAGCGUUGUUCGGAAUUACUGGGCGUAAAGCGCGCGUAGGCGGCUUUGUAAGUUAGAGGUGAAAGCCCGGAGCUCAACUCCGGAAUUGCCUUUAAGACUGCAUCGCUAGAAUCAUGGAGAGGUGAGUGGAAUUCCGAGUGUAGAGGUGAAAUUCGUAGAUAUUCGGAAGAACACCAGUGGCGAAGGCGACUCACUGGACAUGUAUUGACUGCUGAGGUG
rnacentral:rRNA from 1 species